rnacentral:tRNA from 1 species
GCCCCGAUAGCUCAGUGGUAGAGCUCCUGUAUGUGGUGAGCGAAAGCCCCCAGCAAUAACUGUCAGGAGGUCUCAGGUUCGAACCCUGCCCGGUGGUU